GUUGAAACACAGGUUCCCGUACAAUCACCGAAGUUAAACAACGAUGAGCCCGGUCAGUACCCAGACAGGUGACCGCUUGGGAAUUAAAGGUUCUGU